AGUGAACGCUGGCGGCAGGCCUAAUACAUGCAAGUCGAACGGCAGCACAGCAGAGCUUGCUCUGUGGGUGGCGAGUGGCGGACGGGUGAGGAAUACAUGGGAAUCUGCCCAGUCGUGGGGGAUAACGUAUGGAAACGUACGCUAAUACCGCAUGCGCCCUACGGGGGAAAGCCGGGGACCGAAAGGCCUGGCGCGAUUGGAUGAGCCCAUGUUCGAUUAGCUAGUUGGCGGGGUAAAGGCCCACCAAGGCGACGAUCGAUAGCUGGUCUGAGAGGAUGAUCAGCCACACUGGAACUGAGACACGGUCCAGACUCCUACGGGAGGCAGCAGUAGGGAAUAUUGGACAAUGGGGGCAACCCUGAUCCAGCCAUGCCGCGUGAGUGAAGAAGGCCCUCGGGUUGUAAAGCUCUUUUGUCCGGAAAGAAAGCAUUCGGUUAAUACCCGGGUGUUCUGACGGUACCGGAAGAAUAAGCACCGGCUAACUUCGUGCCAGC
rnacentral:rRNA from 1 species